rnacentral:rRNA from 1 species
GACGAACCGUGCGAACGUUGUUCGGAAUCACUGGGCUUAAAGGGCGCGUAGGCGGGCCAUAAAGUCAGGGGUGAAAUCCUCCAGCUUAACUGGAGAACUGCCUUUGAUACUGAUGGUCUCGAGUAAGGUAGGGGCAUGCGGAACUGAUGGUGGAGCGGUGAAAUGUGUUGAUAUCAUCAGGAACUCCGGUGGCGAGGGCGGCAUGCUGGACCUUCACUGACGCUGAGGCGCGAAAGCUAGGGUAGCGAACGGG